rnacentral:rRNA from 1 species
CCUACGGGUGGCUGCAGUGGGGGAUAUUGGACAAUGGGGGGAACCCUGAUCCAGCGACGCCGCGUGAGUGAAGAAGUAUUUCGGUAUGUAAAGCUCUGUCAGUAGGGGAGAAAGAAAUGACGGUACCUGACCAAGAAGCCCCGGCUAACUACGUACCAGCAGCAGCGCUAAUACGUAGGGGGCAAGCGUUAUCCGGAAUUACUGGGUGUAAAGGGAGAGUAGACGGUUAAGUAAGUCUGGAGUGAAAUGCAGGGGCCCAACCCCGGGACUGCUCUGGAAACUGAUGGACUUGAGUGCAGGAGAGGUGAGCGGAAUUCGUGGUGUAGCGGUGAAAUGCGUAGAUAUUAGGAAGAACUCCAGUGGCGAAGGCGGCUUACUGGACUGUAACUGACGUUGAGGCUCGAAAGCGUGGGGAGCAAACAGGAUUAGAUACCCUUGUAGUC